UUUGAGGGGAAUGUUGUCCGGCUCGAGGACCGACUGUUGAUAUAUUAAUAUUGAUCUUAUAUAUGUUUUUUUCUUUUUCUUUUUUUUGGUGUGGUUGAAGAAAUUAAGAAAUGUAUAGAUCUAAUUAAUAUUAUUGAUGAUGAUGAUAAUACUCGUCGUCGUCGUCGUCGUCGGACCAGGCUUCAUUCCCCCCAAU
rnacentral:pre_miRNA from 1 species